GGGGAAGAUGGGAAUAGAAUAAGGUGAAGGAGAGCCACAGAAAACCCUGGGGGACCUACCCCCAGUGUACAGAACUUGAGCAUGAAUUAUUUUCCAAAGUGCUUUACCAUCUUAUCAUAGGGAGAAUUCAUCCUUGAUUAUAAGCACCACUCUAACUAACACCUCAGUGUAAACAUGUGCAUCAGGAAAACCUGCUUUUGUACAGUCCACCAGAAGGGCUAGGAAGAUAUAGCCAGGGAUGGGAUGGGAAGGGGAGAGCAAGAGCACAGCAGGAUCGUUAAGGAAAUGGGAUGAGCAGGUUGAUACAAUAUCAGCUAAUGGGGUACGUCUGAGGCAGAUAAAAAGCACACUCACUCACAGGAGGAAAGGCAGAAAACGAUCCAGCUUCAGGGAGCAGCCGUGUCACCUUCCCCUUGACAAGCUACUGUGUGUCUUGCUGGCAGUAUGUUUUACAGAGCUGGAGGGCAUCCAUGAGAGUGAAAAAUCCUUCCUUUGGCUUUCAGGUGACACCAGGGACUGCCAAGAGAGACAUUUUCAUCGGGAACGGGGGAGAUGGAUCUGAAACCCAGAAAACACUGAGCCAUUAUGGAGAGAUAAAGGAUCGGGCUUUCUGGCUGGGAGAGGAGGAGGGCCAUGGACCACCAGGCCAGGGGGACUGACUCUUGUUAUCCUGCUGAGCUCCGACAGGCUUCACCUCUUAGGGCACGACUGUGCACUUUCCCCUCAGUUGCUUGCAGCCUGUUUCCUGUGACCUGACCCAUGGCACAAGGAGAGUCUGGGUUCUGCCUGUCUUACCAUGUGAACUUGGACAAAGUCCUUAUCCCGUCAAUGACUUGGCUUCCUAAUCUGCAGAUGGAUGAUGGAAGAAUGACUUCGGCUCAGGUUCACGGGCCUCUCCCUAGGUAGGCGGAGGCAUUCAUACACCAAAGGGAAAUCAGAUUGUCACCACGGGAAGGAACUGAGAAGGAACAAGAUUCCAUGUUGUGAAUCUCUGAUCACUUUCUGAAGGUGAAGUAGGCUGCAUGCAAAUGCAUUUGUUCCUAAUGAGUUUUUAGCAUCUCUCCCCAUCUCCGAGGCCGAAAUCAGUGUGUACUGCUCCUCCUUAAGUCACGUCAGUAAUCUUCCUGGAGAGAGCAGAAGAUGAUUAAACUUACUCUAAAUCAUCAUAAGCCUGUUGAAAGACAUUCUCCUCUUGAACUUCUGCUUUACUUUAAAACAACCCAGCAAUUGAACUGGAAACUGUCUCAGGGUGAAGGUAAAAGAAGAUAUAAAUCUUCCUCGAUGCUCUUUAACAUCUAAUAAUAAAGUGAUUGUUGCUGUAUUGUGGCUUUAUUAGUUUCUUAAACACUCUCUUACU